GACAGAGGGUGCAAACGUUGCUCGGAAUUACUGGGCGUAAAGCGCGUGUAGGCUGACCGGAAAGUCGGGCGUGAAAUCCCUGGGCUCAACCCAGGAACUGCACUCGAAACUCCCGGUCUUGAGUGGUGGAGAGGGAAGUGGAAUUCCUGGUGUAGAGGUGAAAUUCGUAGAUAUCAGGAGGAACACCAGUGGCGAAGGCGGCUUCCUGGACGACCAACUGACGCUGAGACGCGAAAGCGUGGGGAGCAAACAGG
rnacentral:rRNA from 1 species